UUUAAAUAGCUGCAGUAAUUUAACUGUACAAAGGUAGCAUAAUAAUUAGUCUUUUAAUUGGGGUCUAGAAUGAAUGGUUCAACAAAAUAAACACUUUAUUAUUUUAAUAAAAUUUAAUUUUAUAUUUUAGUUAAAAAGCUAAGAUUUUUAAAUGGGACGAUAAGACCCUAUAGAUCUUAAAUUUUUUUUAUCCUGAUUUAAAUGGCUAAUCUUGAUUUUUUGGGUUUAAAAAAAUUUUCGUUGGGGUGACGUUAAAAUUUUAAAACUUUUAAUUAUAAUUACACUUAUAAGUGUAUUCAUGAUCUUAACUUUUAGAUUACAAGAAUAAGAUACCUUAGGGAUAACAGCGUAAUAAAUUUGAAUAGUUCAUAUUGAUAAAUUUGUUUACGACCUCGAUGUUGAAUUAAUAUAAAAUUUUGAAGCAGAAAUUAAAAGUUUAGGUCUGUUCGACCUUUAAAUAUUUACA
rnacentral:rRNA from 1 species